AAAAACUCAAUUCCUAGGUUUUUCGUGUCUAACGUUUGACCGUUCGUCUUAUUUGAAAAUUUUAUAAAAAAGUUUAAAAAGAUAAGUCAUGUAUAAAGUAUUAUUUAUGCUUUAUCAUCUAACAAUAAUGAAAGUACUAAUCAUAAAAAAAUUUCAUAUAAGACGGACGGUCAAACGUUGGACACGAAAACCCAAGAAUUGAGUCUUU
rfam:Oryza glaberrima chromosome 8 Oglab08_0178_12, whole genome shotgun sequence.